GGCCUCAAACUUGUCGUCGUCGUGUCGUCUUCUUCUCUUGUUCGUGAAGUUCUUCGUGACAAAGACGCUAUCUUUGCCAAUCGUGAUGUUCCCGUUUCAGCAUAUAAUCUCAUGUACGGCGGAGAAGAUAUCGCUUUUACACCCAACUGCCCAAAAUUAACGAUGAUGAGGAAGGUGACGACGCAAGAACUACUCGGAGGAGCAACACUACAAACUGUCCAAGGGCUUCGAAAAAUGGAGGUUCGAGCGAUGAUAAAAAGAGUAAAGAAAAAGGAAGGAGAGAUUACUGACAUGAGCGUGGAGAUUUUCACAACCAUGUUCAAGGUAAUCACGAGCAUGUUGUGGGGUGGAGGAACGGACGAGAAAGGUGGUGAAGCAAGUGUACAAGAUUUAACAGAAUUCAAGGAUGUCAUAUCUGACAUGGCUGUAUUAUCCGGUAAACCAGAUCUGUCUGAUUUUUUCCCGUUCCUGGAGUGGAUGGAUUUACAAGGAGUAAAAAAAGAGGCAAAGUUUCUAAACAAAAGGUUUGAUGGAAUAUUCGAACAGAUCCUAUCUGGGAAAGUAUCAAACGACGGCAAAGAUUUUCUGGACGUACUUAUGCAGAUAGAAAAGAGAGGUGAUGAAAAUGGUAUUACCAAGAACAACAUCAAGGCUAUCUUACUGGAUUUUGUGACGGCAGGAACUGACACAACAUCAAGCACUAUAGAAUUUGCGGUAUGUGAAAUGUUGCGUAAUCCUGAUAUAAUGAACAAGGUGCAAGAAGAGUUAGAUAGAGUGGUCGGUUCUGAUACCAUAGUAGAAGAAAGACAUAUCUCAGAUUUACACUAUCUUUAUGCUGUUUUCGAAGAAACGCUUCGACUGUAUCCACCUAUUCCAUUUCUAAUCCCACACAGCAACAGCGAAGCUUCCAACAUCGGAGGUUAUAAUAUCCCAGCAAGAACUCGAAUUUUGAUCAACGUAUGGUCGAUCCAUCGUGACCCACAAGUAUGGGAAGAUCCAUUGGUUUUCAAACCAGAGAGGUUCAUCAAAGAUGGAGGUGGAAAGACUUACAAAACCAGCGAUUUCAAAUACUUCCCUUUUGGUUCAGGUAGAAGGAUGUGUGUUGGAAUGGUGAUGGCACACAAGAUGUUCAUGUACGUCAUGGCUUCACUGUUGCAUUCCUUCAACUUGAGGAUGCCUGAAGGACAUCAAUUAGAUUUCACCCAAAAAUUUGGUAUGGUUUUGCAGAAGAAAACACCACUUCAGAUCAUACCCUCUAAGAGACUCUCCAAAAUCCAACUUUACGAUUGAUUAAUUGAUUUAUAAACCCAAUCCAGGAGCAGUCAGGAAGGCAAGAAUAAUAUAUAUAAUAUUCUCUUUUUAUAAUUACUGUCAGCCCCCCCUGUAAUUCUUAUAAUAUUGAACUACUCAAUUCUGUAAUAUCAUAGUUUAUAAAUAAAUAAAAAAUAUCUUCUUGACUUUCUUCCCUUAUGACUUAAUAUACAAUAUAGCAAUGUGGGGAGUCAAGGCGAUAGGGAGAAUAACAAGCUCCCUAGGGUCACCGAUAGAAGAAAAAGCGAAACCACAGAGAGAUGCAUGCCUUCCACCACCGCUUGAAGCUUGUAUUAUAAUAGAUAAAAAUUUCACCUACCCGGAGAAUGUUAGAAUCAGGGCCGAGGGUCAUGAGAAUGUGCCAGCCAAAGACUCGAUUGUUGGGGUUGAAUACAAACAGAAGAUGCCCUAUUGCUUCAGAUGCUCGGGAUUCGGACACUGGCCCCAACAAUGUAGGGGGCACGAACAAAUCGAAGGGAACUGGAAUAAGCACAUCGCGUCGGAAAAAGCAGAGGUCGCCAGCGUCGGUGUCCUUGCAAUUGAAGGGAAAUUUCAAAAUUCAAAACCUUAUGAUACGAUCAAGCAAAGGACGAGGCCACGCCGACGUCGACACCAGCGUACGCAACGUACGAAACUUGUGUACAUGAGAGUGGAAAAGCCUUCAAAUGAAAACCACAAUGACCAAAGAGCACACCAGACCAUAUCCCCCGAACGCCGAGGUGAGAUACCGGCCCCUCCAUCGCAAUCAAACCUGGAGGAAGUGGGAGAAGACCCAUCUGAAAUUAACUUAAAAAAACCAGAUGAGGGCGUGGAUAAUAAUAAUAAUGAAAUGGAAAGUCAAUCGGGCGACCCGAAUACUGACCCGAUACCAAAUACUGACCCGCGACCAAAUAUUGACCCGCGAUUGGAAGGAAGUCCGCUACUGCACAAUCAGAUACCAAUUACAGAUCCGGAAACGCCAAAAUCAAAAUCUAAAUCGAAACAAAGCAAACAGCGGGAAAUAGAGGACCAGGACGCCGAAAGUGGCACGAAUGAACAGAUGCAAAUCGAGGGACACGCCUUAUCGCAUGAAGAUCGCGCCAGCCGGGAACACAUCUUAUAUAACCUACCGGACCUAAACAGCCUGCCGCGUCGAUCGAUCUCAUCUAUUUCAUAUCUUAGCACGUCACAAAGGAAAUUAAGGCAAGCGGACAGACCAGCACAAUGCGCCACCGAGCCAGAGGAAAUUCAAUCAAGAAUCAGAUCAACCGAGAAGCGAAUUGCUCUAGUGCCGAUACAAUUGCACAACCGGUUCCAAGUGCUAUAGAGAGGGCAGAGGAGGAAGGCAGGAUCCUCCAGCGCAAAAAGCAUCUAAGUGGAAUCGCAAGGAGCAUCACCCCCCGUGAUGACUCUAAUUGCAUGGAACGCAAGAGGGAUUUGCUCGACAGAGAGGAAAAAUGAACUGAGAAAACUUUGCCACGAGCGCACAAUUGAAAUCUUUGAAAUUUUAGAAACUAAAACAACAAAUGACAAAUUUAAUGAAGCCCGAGAAAGAAUGGGCAGUGAGUGGACAAUAGAAAGAAACCCUACUGUGGAUAGACAAGAUUCGAUUUGGGUUGGAUGGAAACAAAGCCAAUGGAAGGCAACAAUGAUAGCUACUGAUAGCCAGUAUGUACACACUAGAAUGAAGAACAUAGGUGGAUAUGAAUUCGACUUAACAAUCGUAUAUGGGGAAAGGACAGCAAUUAAAAGACGACAACUAUGGUAAGGCAUUAUCUUACUCCGCCCAAUUUCGAGUGCGAAGGAUUGGUUAAUCAUAGGUGACUUUAAUGAAAUACGUCACCCCUCGGAAAGAGAAGGUCGCGGUUUAUUCGACAGAGCGGGGGCUUCCAAGUUCGAAAAUGCAAUUGCAGGCUUCACAGAGAUAUCGGCAAUCGGCGGCGACUUCACAUGGACUAAUGGGCAAACCAGAUCGAGGCUGGACAGGGCUUUGGGGAACGCACAUUGGCUUACCAAAUGGCCUCAAGCCCGGCCAAGGCUGAUCCACGGUACUACGAGCGACCACGCCGGCUUUCACAUCAAAUUGACACAAACUGAAAGAGGCACGACUCCCUUCAAGUUCUAUAAUAGUUGGCUAAGAGAGAAUAAUUUUAACGAAAAAUUCAGAGCGACAUGAGCAAUGGGGGUGGAAGGCUCUCUCGUCUACACGCUACAACAGAAAAUAAAUGAAAUAAGGAAGAUGGCUAAGAAUUGGGUAAAAAUCAGAAAAUCAGAAAAUCAAAAGCUCUAUCGUCAAGGGAGGUAGCGAGCUUAUUGCAAUCUGAGACAACCAAACUUUAAUCAAAUCCGUACUGCCCUGUGACACAAGCGGCCUGCAAUGAGCUAAAAACAAGGCUAAUAAAUCUACAAAUCAGCGAGCAAUUAGACCUUAGGAAGAAGGCGCACAUAGAAUGGAUAACGAUGGACGACAAAGGCACCCACUUCUUCGCACAAGCCAUAAAGGCGAGGCAUGCCAGAAACUCUAUCACGGGAACCAUAGACGGGGAGGGGAGGCAAACAAAUUCAAUGUCUGAUAUGAAAGCAAGAGCCAUAACAUACUUCACUGAUCUGUUCAACGUCGAGAGCAGAGAGAGACCAAUUCCGAAUCUAAAUAUAGUAAUUGACAGGAGUCCAACAGAUGUUGAAAAUGCAAUACUAAGAUGCACCCCAUGUGAGACAGAAAUACGGGCGGCAUUAACAAGUAUGCCGACAGGGAAAGCGCCGGGAAUGGAUGGCCUCACAUCUGAAUCUUGUCAUUCCAUUGGAGUUCAAUCAGAAAUGAUAUAAUAGCGGCAGUGUUACAUUUUUUCCAAACCAAGUGGAUGCUCGGAGCACUAAAUCUAGCAAUCUUAAUGCUAAUACCAAAAAUGGAAGCACCGGAGAGAUUGGAGGACUAUAGACUAAUCUCGUGCCUCGGAGUUACAUAUAAAAUCUUUGCAAAAGUACUGGCCAACAGAUUAAUGAAAGUGCUGCCAGGGAUCAUAAAACCAGUGCAAACAACCUUCAUUAAAGGCCGGAGAAUCACCGAUGCCAUUGGCCUCGCUCAGGAAUUUACUCAAUCAUUCAAUUGCAAAAGUACCUCCAGACGUGCAUGCAUUGCAAUCGACUUCGCCAAAGCUUUCGACACACUAAAAUGGGACGCAAUAGAAGUGACACUAGAGCUGCUCGACAUCGAUGAAACAUUUCGCAUGCUAGUUAUGACGUGUGUAAGAACAACAUCAGUAGCUGCUCUAGUGGAGGGAUCACCGACAGAGAUAAUUGGUAUGAAGAGAGGGCUAAGGCAGGGUGACCCACUAUCACCUCUGUUGUUCGUCGUUGUCAUCGAUUACUUAUCCAAGCUAGUAGACCUCGCCAUAAAGAACAAAAAAAUCGAACUCUACUCAUCAAGAGGUGUAAUGGUGGAUAACCAUCUAGCAUUUGCGGAUGACAUAAUCUUCUUUUGCCGAGCCUCGACCAAAACAUUUCGGGCCCUAAAUGAGGUACUCAAAGAAUUCACUACUUUUUCAGGUCUAAGCAUUAAUAGGGAGAAGAGUCAUGCAAUCUUUUCAAAGUGGGUGGAGGACAAACACGAGUUAGCAGCAAUACUAGGAUACCAAGUGAAGGAGUUGCCAAUUCGGUACCUAGGAACACCUUUCACGGGCAAACUAAUAAGAUACAAAGACUGUGAUAGAUUAUUAGCAGAGCUUAAGAGCAUUUUAACACGAUGGAGUGGCAAGAAACUAUCCUAUGCAGGACGAAUCCAACUAGUUGACUGGGUGUUCCAAGGCAAAUUCGGGUACCUCGCUCAGAGUAGUAUCAUCCCAAAGGCAGCCCUAGAAGCAAUACAAUCAAUCACAUACAAAUUCAUUUGGGGGGCGCAAAAGGAGGUAUCAUGGGCAAGUAUGACGAAGAACAAGGACCAAGGUGGAAUUGGCGUAAGAGACUAUAAAAACGCACAUCUUGCUGCCAUAAUCAGCAGAACAUGUAGAAUGUGGGAGGGUGAGGGAGUGUGGAGCGCUUGGAUGACCAAACGAUAUGUCAAAGGAAGGGCAAUAGAUCAAAUUCAGAAGCUCCAAACGGAUUCAGCAGUGUGGAAGGCAACAAUACAACAAAAGGAACAUAUAGCUAAAUGUGUGAAAUUGGGACCGAGCAACACUAAAACAUGGGUGGGGAAGGGAACGAGCUGCACUGCAAAAAACGUAGCUGCUACCCUUCGACCUGAGGUCCCAAAAGAUGAAUUCGCGAAGGGAAUUUGGUCAAUCAAAAUCGGUAAAAUCGCGCUGAACUUAUGGAGGAUUAGAUGGGGCACUCUCCCUACUAAUGACAGACUUAUUAAGCGAGGAAUGAACAUCAAUGGAGGAUGCGAAUUGUGUGACACGGAACAAGAAAGCGUAAGCGACUUAUUCAUGCAAUGCGAGUUCGUAAAAUGGAUCAUGAAGGAAGGAUUGGAGGCUACGGGAUCGCUGGUCGACCUGAGUGCAGCUUCAUCGUUCGUGGAGGCAGCGCGGGAGCUGAACAAAGUAACAACAGGAACGCCGACGUGGGGGCUUCAAUGGAACAUGUUUGGAAUCAUACUAUUCCAUGUUUGGAAGCAAAGAAACGCAAGGAGGACCAGUUCAGCAACGCAAACAAAAGAAAUAAUACUCAGGAACUGCAUUAAAAUGGCUGGAAUAGAAUUUGAUGAAAAGCGAUAUAAGAAGCAACACAAGACGGCGGAAGAGGGGAGGGCGUUGCUCCAAUGUGACGCCCUACUCAUGCUCAUCCAUUCCGAGGAGGGAUAAUCGAUGGUUAGAAACUUUUAACUACCGUGCAAAGUAAUUAGGUUAAUUUCCAUAACUAAUCUAGCAGUAAUGUAUUAAACUCUUUACUCUUAAUCGAAAAAAGUAACCUUACCAAAAAAAAUAUAUCUUCUUGACUUUCUUCCCUUAUGACUUAGUCAAUUGGGUUAAUUAAUUUAAUACGUUAUGACUUAAGUAAUUUAAUUGGGUUAAUUGUUAUCGGGAGGGUUCCAUAUUUCUUUUUAAUUUUUAAUUUAAUUGUAAGUCGAUUACCGCCUGUAGCCAGGGAUGGGUCAUCAGUCAUCACCGGUCAAAAUCAAUAAAUUUUUUAUAUAUUUUUUUUACCUCGAAAUCUACAUCGAAAAAUCAACGAUAACGAAGCAAAUCAAAAGGAUUUUAAAAUUCAAUACCUUGACUUUAGGAGAGAGAACGGUGCGUGGGUUUGUAACAGAGCUGACAGGACGGGUCUGUUUAAGGGAAAUACUAGAUCCGUCUCUGACCCAGACCGGGCGGAUUUCUUCGGUUAAACAAAUGAGUUAUAAUCAUUUUGAUUUUUUUAACGUGGCGAGAAAAUAAUUCAAAAUUUGCGGAGAUCAAAAUACUUAAAAUCACUCAUGAUUGAUCACCAUAAUUUGUAAUGAAUUUUUCAUUUUAAGAUUAAAUAAUCUCUAAAAAAAGAGGUUGGGCUUAUUUUAAAAUUUCUCUUAUUUAACAUUUACCGUAUCUUAUUUACAAAUUACAAUGAUCAAAUCUAAAUUUAUCUCCCUGUUUUAAUCAUCAUUUUUAAUAUUUAUAUAAGUUAUAAUAACUUUUAAUUUGUGGGCUCACCGGUGUGGGCUCGUCGUCCAACCUAAUACAAGUGUUCCUCCAAGAAUUAUCAACCUCCUCCCCUAUUGGACCAGGGAAGGUAUUUAUAAGUUUAUAACCUUCUCUUGCUGUCCUUGGGCCACGUGGGCUUGCCCGUGGGGCCCAUUCGUUCGUCCAGAGCCGUUCUUGUUGGGCCAUUCGUUAUACUUAAACCCUAAGCCCAAGGCCAUUCUUGUUUCGGCCACGUAGCUUGCCAUUGAGUCCUCCUUGGACACGAAGUCGCCCCUGACUUGGUUGGCUACUAGUCGGGAAUCCGUGUGGAGGUGCACUUUGGACGCGCCCAGCGCACGUGUUAGCCUGAUUCCCGACAGGAGAGCUUCGUAUUCCGCUGCAUUGUUGGUCGCCCGAAACUCAAAAUGGAUCGAGUACUCGAUCUUUUCCCCGUCGGAGUUUUUACCACGACCCCCGCGUCGCAACCUGUGCUACUGGACGACCCGUCCACGUGAGCCGUCCACCACUGCUCCUUCACCUUCUCGUCGUCUUUCGGGGCUAGCUCGGCCAUGAAAUCUUCCACCGCUUGCUCUUUGACCGCCCUCGCCGACACAAUAACCAGGUGGAAUUUGCUAAGUUCCAUAGCCCAUUUGGUCAACCUUCCCGAGACGUCCGGCUUUUGCAGCAGUUGGAGCAGCGGGUAGGCCGUUGGAAUUGUGACGGUAUGGGCGUGAAAAUAUGGUUUCAACCUUCGGACCGUCGAGACCACCGCUGGGGCCAGUUUCUCGAUAUCGAUCUGGGUACCUUUCCUUCGCCCCCUGCAGCGACCGGGAGUGGUAAUAUACUGGCCUCUGUACGCCCUCCGCUUCCGAGAUGAGUACUGCGCUGACGGCCGAAUCCGAGCAUGCGACGUACAUGGUGAGUGGUUCCCCUCUCGCUGGAGGGCAGAGCGUUGGCAGGCGAGAAAGCUGGAGCUUGAGUUCCUUGAAAGCUACUUCGCACUUGUCCGACCACACUACUCUGGGGCCUGGGUUCCUCAACAGUUGGAAGAACGGGCGUAGGCGGUCCUCCGUUCUCGGCAGGAAUCUGCUUAACGCCGUCACCCUUCCGUUCAGCUUCUGGACUUCCUUUAGCGUAUGUGGUGGAUUCAUGGCCAUGACGGCCUCGACUGUUUCCCCUCUUGGCCUGAUCCCCUCGAGCGUGAUCCGGAAACCCAGGAAGUGCCCCUCCUUAACCCCGAACGUGCACUUUUUUGCCUUUAACUUGAGCCCCGCUUUUCUGACGUUGGCGAAGGUCUCCUCUAGGUCGGCUAGGUGCGUCCUGGUCUCCUUUGAUCGGACGAGUAUGUCGUCCACGUACACCUCCGCGUUCCUGCCUAUCUGUGCCCCGAACACUUUGUCCAUUGGCCUCUGGAAUGUAGCCCCGGCGUUUCGUAGGCCAAAGGGCAUUACUUUGAAACAGAACGUGCCCAUCUCUGUGAUGAACGACGUCUUCUCCUCAUCCUCCCUUGCUAUGGGCACUUGGUUGUACCAUGAGUGCGCGUCUAUGAAACUCAGCAUUUCGCACCCGGAGCUCUAGUCCACCAACCGGUCUACCGACGGUAGUGGGUAGCUAUCCUUGGGGCAAGUUUUGUUGAGGUUUGUAAAGUCGACGCACAUCCUCCACCCCGCGCCUGCCUUUCUCACCAUUACCACGUUGGACAGCCAGGCGGGGUAACACACUGGGCGAAUGAAGCCCGCUCGAAGGACUUUCUUGACCUCCGUCUCUGCCGCCUCCCUUUUUCUGUCCUUAGCGGGCGCAUCUUUUGUCUGAUGGGGUGGGCGCCUAGGACCACCGCGAGCUUGAGCUCUGCCAGCGCCCUAGGCACGCCGCUCAGCUGCCCCAGCUCGAUUGCGAACAAGUCCUCGUUUCUCCUGAGGAGCUGCUCCAGCCCCCUCUCAAGUCCCGCGGGAGGUCCUUUCCUAUACGUACCUCGUUCCGGCCGAGGCCGAUUAGGAUCGUGUGGGACGCUGACGCCGGCUUCGUGACGCACUCACGCGCAGAGUGCGGUAGGCCCUCGUCCGAUGUCAUCACUUCGCCCACCGAGUUGAAGUAGCACUCACGUGCCUUCUUCUGGGAUCCUCUGACCAUGCAUACUCCCUCUUUGGUUGGGAAUUUGAGGCACUGGUGGAGCGAAGACAUCACCGCCAGGAACGCGUGCAGCGCCGCUCUUCCUAGGAUGGCAUUGUAUCCGGACGUGAAGUUUACCACGGUGAACGUGACUUCGACUGUCCUUGUUUGAGCGUGUCGGCCCAAGGUGACCGGGAAUGAUAUUGUCCCCGCUACCAGAACUUCCGUUUGUCCAAAUCCUCUGAUGGGGGGCUGGAUUGGGAGCAGGUCCGUGCGGGCCAGACCGAUGUCGAUGAAGGCGUUCCAGUACAGUAUGUCUAUGGACGUCCCUGUGUCCACCAAAACCCUGUAUAGGCGUACACUGGAUUUAUCCCCCUUUUGGAAGAUGGGGGUUAUGACUAACGGGUCGUCGUGGGGCGUAGUGAUGUCCUUCAUGUCGUCCUCCGUGAACGAGAUUUCCAUCUUCGUUCGCGAGCGCUUCGUCCCUGUUGUCCGGUCCAAAUCGGACGCGUGCCGACGCCCUUCCCAUGGGUCGUCGCCCCUGGAGGCCUCCCCUCCUGCGAUGGUAAGGAUAUCCCCAAUUACUUCGUCCGCUGGUUCUUGCUUCGGCGCUUGGUGCUGUAGAAUCAAAAUUGUCGACAUAGGAUUAUAUUUUAAUCAUGUCAAUUUAAACCCGAAUUACACUAUUAAUCAAUAGGGGUUAAAUAAGUCAAUCAAUAUUAAACGUAACUCCAGUUAAUUAAUUAAUCAUUUGAGUUAAAGGUUUAAGUCAAAGUUAAAAGUCAAAUUGGGAGAAUUGCAUUUUCACCUUGAAUAUUAUUAUUUGGAAUAAUUGCAUUUUUACCUUGAAUAUUAUUAUUAUUAUCUUUUGACACUUUAUUCAAUGUAUAAUAUUCCAAGGGGACAAAACAUUAUUCAAGUUUGAAUUUAUACAAAGAUAAGAUUCUCCAACAAACUCUAUCCAAGAAAAACACUAUUCAAGAUAAGAUCAAAGACAAAGCUUGAAUUUUUGUGAGAAAUCAAGGAGCCAUCCAUUGAAGAUCCAAGGGUGGACAUUGAAUGACCAAUGCUAUAAAUAGAAGGGUAAACCCCUCAUUUUCACUUGCCACACUACAAGCAAACUCAAGAGUUUUCACUCCACACUUGCCCACACGUUUUUGCCUACAAACUUCCAAGCUUUCAAGUGCUCAAGUGUCCUAGCUUUCCAAAGCUUCAAAAGCUCUCCAACUUCUUCUUCUAAUCUUUUUGUUCAUCUUUACAAGUAAGAAGUGUUGUUUACUUUAAUAUUCCACUCCUCUAAUCACCUCUUGUGUGUGUCCACUUUGGUUGAGAGGGUUGUCUCAAUAGUACCAAAGUGUGAGAGAAGGUUUUUGAGCUCAACCAUAAAGCUCUAGUUUGGUUUUAUAGAGUUUCCGAGAAAACUCUUAGGUCGAAUCUACCUAUACGUGCGUGUGCUCUCAGCCUCUCCCUGCGCGAUGGCACUGAGGGUAGCUUUGAUUUUGGGUCUCCUCCGACGGUGUGCGAAAGCCGCCCGGAAAACCGCCACCAGGCCUUCGUAGGUAUGCACGGACCCUGCUGGCAACGUCCUGUACCAUGCUAUCACGUCGCCCGUCAAGGCUCUGCGGAACAUCCGGCACCAGAUGUUCUUUCUGCUCGUCCUGUCCACCAUGUUGGUUUUGAACGAGUGAAGAUGAUCCUCCGGGUCCGUGUCUCCCUUGUAAUAUGGGAUCUUUGGGGCCCUCCAGCCCGGGGGGUAUUCCUCGUCCGACAAGUGUUGUGCCAGGGCUUCUCCGCCUACCGCCAGUAUCGUACUGACUCCCGGGGCUCCCGCGGGCGGGGUGUCGUUCCCGGGUCCCCCGACCGGGGGGGGGGGUCCGUACAUCGGGUCGCCACCCCCGCCCCCGUCCGACUCCAAGGUGUGGGGGGUACCGUGAGCUGGUACAUUUGCUCCUGCAGCUGGCGCUGGCUCUCCUGUAGAGUGGAUAUCAGUUCCACGAGUUGCACCCUCUCUCGCUUGUUCUCCCUUUCCGUGCGCUCUCUCUCCUCUGCGCUCCCUUCGACGAAGCCUCUCGUGCUCCUUUUCCUUCGCUCUGCUCUUCCUUCUCUCCCGGGACCGCGUACUCCUCUCCCUGGACGGGGGCGUUGGCCCGCUUCGUCUGCUCCUCCUGGGCGACUCCCACCCGUACCUUAUUUCCUCCAAUUCCAUGCGUAAUCUUUCCUCCUGGGCGUCCCACUCCUCGUUGGCUCUCAUCUCCUUCGAGUACCGGUCCCGUGAGAGGUGCGGUACCGGCCGGUACUCCAACGCCCCUCGCUCGCGUCGCUUCGAGCAUUCUUCUGCCUGGUAUUCGCUUCUUCCUGUCAUCCUCUUUCUCCUCUCUCCGGCUGUUGCGUGUUCGUUCACGUCAGGUUCACCACUGUUGGUUUGUGGGCUCGUCGGUGUGGGUUCGCCGUCCAACCUAGUACAAGUGUUCCUCCAAAAAUUAUCAACCCCCUCCCAGGGGAGGUAUUUAUAGCCUUCUCUUGCUGUCCUUGGGCCUCGUGGACUCGCCCGUCGGGCCCAUUCGUUCGUCCGGACCGUCGACAAGGCUGGUUCGGUCCAUGGGCCGCGGUUCGCGGUCCAUGGUACCAACAAUAACAAUAAUUUAUAGAAUGUAAAAUAUAUCAGCUCGCCUAUUUCAUUAGGAGUGAGCAGGUACGUGGCAGACCCAAAAACCAUCCCCGUGUCUUGUCAUUGGCAUGGGUAUGAGGAUCCCCAACCAAAAUAUUAUUUAUUUUUAUUUUUUAAAUUUAUUUUAAACAAUAAUGUACUAAUGUUAUGUAACAAUCGUGAUUGACCAGCAGGAGGCCGAGAGAGUACUGGGAACGGAGUUGCAUUGGGCGGAAGAAGAAACAGAGCCGACUAGUAUAUCGGAGGUCGACUCUGUUAGACCUACGCGAGAAAGACAUUCAACCCGACGUGACUACGACUACGCAUGAUUAUUAUAACGAAUUAGUUGUAAUAACGGUUAAUAGUAGUUACAGCAAUGGUUAGUAUUUAAGGAAUAACCGGUAUACACUCAAUAGUUGUGUACAAAUAGGCAGAACGAAAUAAUACAUAUAUGCUGAAUUUGGUUUGUACUUUCCUUGCGACUUUCUUCUUCGAAUCUCCGUCGUCUGUCUUCUUCCUCCUCCGGCUGGGAAGUUCCGUGAUCUCUUUUUCCUUCUUGAACCCGUUCCGAUCGCCGAUCGUUGCUGUCACAUGCUAUUACUUACUAUUAAUUACUAAUGUAAUUAAAAUACUGAUUUAAAUGUAAAUAGUCUAAAUAGUUAAAAAUUAAAUAAUUCAGAUGUAAAUAAAUAAUAAUUUAAUAAUGUUUUAUCACUUUUAUAGAUCAUUUUUAUAAGGGUUAAAUAUAAUUUUUUGUAUGAUAUAUAAUAUAUAAAAUAAAUAACUUUAUAUUUAAAAUAUAUUAUAUAGCCAUAUAGGGUCAUUUAUAUAAAUGAUACUAUAUAAAAUAUUAGAAUAAAAUUUCAGUGAGCCCACCUAAUAUGAGCUUAAUAGUGUUUAAGUCUUUAUGGAAAUGUGUGCAACCAAAACAUUAAAAAAUAAUAUAAUUAAAGGACGGUUCAGAAAUAGUCGGGGAUUUCGACCGGGGACGGGGUUUUUCCUUUUUCAGGUAGGAAAAUCCUUCCCGUCCCUGUACCCGUUCAUUUGGGGAAAGGCGGGUAUUGGGUACGGGGAAUCUCACCCCUAAUUUUCAUGCUAAUUAUAAUGUUAUAGAUUUCCAUUUCAAUUAGUCUUAUCCAAUUAUAUUUAAUUAGGGUUGUAAUUAAAUGGGUCCGGGUCCGACCAGGGCCCGGGUCUGUGACUAAUUUUGAACCUAUUAAAGAGUUUGGACUUGAAGAUCUAGGUUUAGAAUAGCUGACCCGGCUGGACCCGGACUCUGAUAUUAUAAAUAUUUUAUAAUAUAUUAGUAAGUUAGGAUUUAAAUAUAAAUAUUUUAAUUUAUAUUUUAUAAUAUAUUAGUAACUUAAGAGUUAAAUAUAAAUACGUAACUUGUUAUUUUUAUUUUAUGUUUAUUGGUUUCACCAAACCGACCAGUCCAGAUUCGGUCCAUUUACAUUCCUAUCUUUAAUAGUUAUUUUGAAUAAUUAAAAAAAAUAGUCUUUAUCGAUCGACCCCAAUCAAAUCAGAAUUUAAAAAUACUUUCGUUAUCUGGAUCGUUCACUAAUCACUACCGUUUAAAGAUUAAACUUUGAAUUGUCAAAUCGAAAAUCUAAAAUGGAAUGUGAUGACAACUUAAUGUGGUUCAAGGAUAAUAACAAUAAAUCAGCCUAUGACUCAAGCCCGACAAUGAUCCAACUCAGGUCAAGUCUGAAUCUGACCCAACUUCGGUACAAAUUGAUUCGGAAGACCUGACACAACUAUAACCUAAGUUUAUACCCAGAUGAAGAUCCGGCUAGUAACAUUGUUAUUAAUACUGUUUACUUCGAGAUAAACAAUAGGUAAUUUAAUGAGUUGAGACUAGUCGUUAAAUAGAGGUGAGACAGAAGGACCGAUAUCUCAUCGAUCUUGCGUCACCGAUAAGAUUUUGAAAGAUCAAAGAUAGACUAAAAAAUGCGGUUUUAUUUUUUUUGACAAAGAAAUAAUCGAGUGCAUAUGAAAAUAUAAAAGAAAAUGAUUUAUCAACACCAUCUAGCUUGGAAAAGUCCUCAAUUUUGUAAAAUGUCUAGAAUCAUGCACAAAUCAUAGUUUGAAAAUUUGAAUAAAAUAAUGAAUGGAAAAUAAUAAAGAAUUGAAAUUUAGAUUAUGAGGAAAAAAUGAGACUAUUCUUCACUGUUUCAUGCGAUUAUAUGAAUCUCUUUUAUCUAUAUAUAUCCAUUUAGUUGAAGCCAUCAUGUAUAAUAUUGGUGUUCUUAGUUAACUAUACUAGCCAGUCAUGAAAAAUUUCACCUUUGAUUUCUGCUUAUCCAUGAAAGACGAUCCAAGUCCAUUUGUUUUAAUAUUUUCGACCUUGUUCAUCGGCAUUCUUGCCAUCAUCAUUUGGUCUUACCUCAAGAGAUUGAAGUUAUCACUCCCUCCAGGCCCAAUAGGUCUUCCAUUGCUUGGUACUCUUCCCUUCAUCGAUCCUCAACUCCACUUUUACUUCACCGGUUUGGCUAAAAAAUAUGGUCCAAUCAUCAGCACAUAUCUAGGCCUCAAACUUGUCGUCGUCGUGUCGUCGUCCUCUCUUGCUCGUGAAGUUCUUCGUGACAAAGAUGCUAUCUUUGCCAAUCGUGAUAUGCCCGUUUCGAUAUAUAAUUUGAUGUACGGUGGACAAGACAUCGCUUUCACCAGUAAUGGUCCAAAAUUGAUCAUGAUGAGGAAAAUCGCGACGCAAGAACUACUCGGAGGAGCGACACUACAAGCAGUCCAAGGACUUCGAAAGAUCGAGGUGCGGGCGAUGAUAAAGCGAGUGAAAGACAGGGAAGGAGAUGUUGCAGAUCUGGGAGUGGAGCUUUUCAAAACUAUGUUCAAUUUAGUGACCACAAUGUUGUGGGGUGGAGGAAUGGAUAAGAAAGGUUGUGCAGGUUUGAGUGCAAAAGAAUUCUUAGAAUUCAAAGACAUCAUAUCAGAGAUGGCCAUAUUAGCAGGUAAACCAAACUUGUCGGAUUAUCUUCCUUUCCUGAAGAAUUUGGAUUUGCAGGGAAUUAAAAAGGAAUCAUUGAUCAUAAACAGAAGAUUUGAUGGAAUAUUCGAACAGUUGAUGUCUGAUAAAGCAUCAAAUAUCGAACAGAAAGAUUUUCUAGAUGUUCUUCUACAGAUAAAAAAGAGUGGUCAUGAAGUAGGGUUUACUAAAGAUAGCAUCAAGGCUAUUCUUUUGGAUUUUAUAACUGCUGGAUCUGACACAACAUCCAGCACAAUGGAAUUCGCCAUAUCUGAGAUGCUGCGUAACCCUGAUAUAAUGAAAAAGGUGCAAAAAGAGUUGGACACAGUGGUUGGAUAUGACAAGAUGGUAGAAGAAACUGACGUCUCUGAGUUGCACUAUCUCCAUGCUGUUUUCGAAGAGACGCUCCGACUAUACCCACCUGUUCCCUUUCUCAUUCCACAUUGCAACAGUGAAGCUUCAACACUUGGAGGCUAUGAUAUUCCAAAAGAUACACAAGUAAUGGUUAAUGUAUGGGCAAUCCAACGUGAUCCACAAGUGUGGGAGAACCCAUUGGUUUUCAAACCAGAGAGGUUCAUCAAAGAUGGAGGUGGAAAGACUUAUAAGAGCAGCGAUUUCACGUUUUUGCCUUUUGGUUCAGGUAGGAGGAUGUGUGUGGGGAUGACAUUGGCACAUAAGAUGUUCAUGUAUGCCAUGGCUUCACUGUUGCAUUCCUUCGAAUUCAGGCUUCGUGACGGCGAGGAGUUGGAUUUUGCUCAAAAAUUUGGAAUGGUUUUACAGAAGAAAACACCACUUCAGGUCAUACCCACACCAAGACUCCCCACUUCUCAACUCUAUUAUUAAUGAUUACUUGUGUG
rnacentral:lncRNA from 1 species